AGCUGCUGACCCAAGAGGCUCAGACUCCAACCUGAAGCUUCACUGGGCCAGGGAAUGGCUGCAAAGUCAAGAGCACAUGGGCCAGGGCUGGCCAGCUUCUCAGCUCCAGGCACCCAGAUGGAAGCAUCCACAUCUGCAUUCUUCAUGGCAGAGACCUCUCCCCGUUCAGGUUCUGGAAACAGAAGAGAUGUCUGAAAUAGAGAGCUGAGAACGCAAACAAAAACAAAAGCAAAAACAAGGCGACUAAAAUAAAUCCCAGAAAGUGACAAGUCUGCUCAGAAGGAGGCCGGAAGCUGCUUUCUUCCAGACAGAUGAUAAACUCUUCAAGAGAAGAACCAAGUCUGAACACUGCUUUCUACAUUCAGACUUCUUAAUAAAGCAAAGUAUAAAUAAGCUGUGCUUUCAACUACACUACUGAGGAAGGCUGUGAGCCAUUUUGAUGCUCACCCCUCGUAACCAGGAGGAGGAAAGCCUCUGACGAUAGGCUGUGGCUUUAGUGAAAGCAGCAGCAAUUAGCUCAGUACGGCGAGUUUCACUUUGUGUGAACAUGUCCAUCUAAAGACUUUAGACACACAUUCAGUCUGCUUAUAAAACGCACACAUACAACUUACAAUUUGUUAUUGGAUGACCAAUAUUUUCACAGAUCUUCUAGUUCUAAACUAUCAAGCUAUCAAGAUGGCCCUGGUAAGAGGCAGCUUUCAGUGGUAUAUUUUGAGAGGACACUGGUAAGGCUCAAUUACAAACCAUCACUGCUUAGCCUCUGUGACAUGUUAACUAGAUGAUAACAUGGAGGCACUCUGCAUUGUCCUGAAAACUAUCUUUAGAAAGAUUAUAAAAAUGCAGCAGUCCCAGUUGCUCAGGGGGCUGAAGCAAGAGGAUCACUUGAGGCCAGGAGUUGGAGAUCAGCCUGGGCAACAUGGCAAGAUCCCAUCUCCACACACACACACACACACACACACACACACACACACGCACACACACACAAAAUAGAUAUAUUUAUAUAUAAACAUUUAUUUUUAAUAUUUGGAUUUAUAUAUAUAAUUUAUAUGUAUAUAAAUCGAAAUACUAAAAAUAAACGCUACAUUUAAAAAUCACAGCAUUGUGGCUUCUAGUAGCAUUACAUACAUGGUCG